rnacentral:rRNA from 1 species
UACGAAGGGGGCUAGCGUUGCUCGGAAUGACUGGGCGUAAAGGGCGCGUAGGCGGUUUGUACAGUCAGGUGUGAAAUUCCCGGGCUCAACCUGGGGGCUGCACUUGAUACGUAGGAACUGGAGUGGGGAAGAGGGUCGUGGAAUUCCCAGUGUAGUGGUGAAAUGCGUAGAUAUCGGGAGGAACACCAGUGGCGAAGGCGACUACCUGGCCUGUUCUUGACGCUGAGGCGCGAAAGCUAGGGGAGCAAACGGG